rnacentral:rRNA from 1 species
AGUGAACGCUGGCGGUAGGCCUAACACAUGCAAGUCGAACGGCAGCACAGUAAGAGCUUGCUCUUACGGGUGGCGAGUGGCGGACGGGUGAGGAAUACAUCGGAAUCUACUUUUUCGUGGGGGAUAACGUAGGGAAACUUAUGCUAAUACCGCAUACGACCUACGGGUGAAAGCAGGGGAUCUUCGGACCUUGCGCGUUUGACUGAGCCGAUGUCGGAUUAGCUAGUUGGCGGGGUAAAGGCCCACCAAGGCGACGAUCCGUAGCUGGUCUGAGAGGAUGAUCAGCCACACUGGAACUGAGACACGGUCCAGACUCCUACGGGAGGCAGCAGUGGGGAAUAUUGGACAAUGGGCGCAAGCCUGAUCCAGCCAUACCGCGUGGGUGAAGAAGGCCUUCGGGUUGUAAAGCCCUUUUGUUAGGAAAGAAAAGCAGCAGGUUAAUACCCCGCUGUUCUGACGGUACCCAAAGAAUAAGCACCGGCUAACUUCGUG